GGUGCUAAUACCGUAUAACAAUCAAAACCGCAUGGUUUUGAUUUGAAAGGCGCUUUCGGGUGUCGCUGAUGGAUGGACCCGCGGUGCAUUAGCUAGUUGGUGAGGUAACGGCUCACCAAGGCCACGAUGCAUAGCCGACCUGAGAGGGUGAUCGGCCACAUUGGGACUGAGACACGGCCCAAACUCCUACGGGAGGCAGCAGUAGGGAAUCUUCGGCAAUGGACGAAAGUCUGACCGAGCAACGCCGCGUGAGUGAAGAAGGUUUUCGGAUCGUAAAACUCUGUUGUUAGAGAAGAACAAGGAUGAGAGUAACUGUUCAUCCCUUGACGGUAUCUAACCAGAAAGCCACGGCUAACUACGUGCCAGCAGCCGCGGUAAUACGUAGGUGGCAAGCGUUGUCCGGAUUUAUUGGGCGUAAAGCGAGCGCAGGCGGUUUCUUAAGUCUGAUGUGAAAGCCCCCGGCUCAACCGGGGAGGGUCAUUGGAAACUGGGAGACUUGAGUGCAGAAGAGGAGAGUGGAAUUCCAUGUGUAGCGGUGAAAUGCGUAGAUAUAUGGAGGAACACCAGUGGCGAAGGCGGCUCUCUGGUCUGUAACUGACGCUGAGGCUCGAAAGCGUGGGGAGCAAACAGGAUUAGAUACCCUGGUAGUCCACGCCGUAAACGAUGAGUGCUAAGUGUUGGAGGGUUUCCGCCCUUCAGUGCUGCAGCUAACGCAUUAAGCACUCCGCCUGGGGAGUACGACCGCAAGGUUGAAACUCAAAGGAAUUGACGGGGGCCCGCACAAGCGGUGGAGCAUGUGGUUUAAUUCGAAGCAACGCGAAGAACCUUACCAGGUCUUGACAUCCUUUGACCACUCUAGAGAUAGAGCUUCCCCUUCGGGGGCAAAGUGACAGGUGGUGCAUGGUUGUCGUCAGCUCGUGUCGUGAGAUGUUGGGUUAAGUCCCGCAACGAGCGCAACCCUUAUUGUUAGUUGCCAUCAUUCAGUUGGGCACUCUAGCAAGACUGCCGGUGACAAACCGGAGGAAGGUGGGGAUGACGUCAAAUCAUCAUGCCCCUUAUGACCUGGGCUACACACGUGCU
rnacentral:rRNA from 1 species